rnacentral:rRNA from 1 species
CUCGAGAUGCUGGCGAAAUGGUUUCAAUCGACCCGUCUUGUAACACGGACCAAGGAGUCUAACAUGCUUGCGAGUAUUUGGGUGUCAAACCCGGAUGCGUAAUGAAAGUGAAUGG